AUCCGGGUGGGUGGCUUAAAGGUCCAAGAAAGCAGCCCAGGCCCUGACCCUCAGAACCUGCACUUUCCUUUAAGUGGUAAAGGAGCUUUGCAGGUGUGAUUACAUGAAAGCUCUUGAGGUAAAGAGGGUUGCUCGGAUUACCCAGGUGGGCCCAAUGAUGAGAUCACGGGGAUUCCUCUGGGGCUACGGGCAGGAGGGGUGGGAUGAGGAGCAGCCGCCACACAAGCAAUGCCAGUGAUCUCCAGAGUCUGGGAAGGACACGGGAACGACGUCUCCCUUGGAGCCCCCGGGAAGAACGCAGCCCUGGACACUGUGACUGUCAAUCUCUGACCUCAGAACCAUGGGGCUGAGCCUCCAGCCUCCAGAGGUCACCAGACAGCUCUGUGCAGCCUCAGAAGUGCAGGGAACACUGUCUCACGAGCAUCACCUUUACAGGUCUGAGCCCUGGGAUAAGCGACAAACUCCACUGCUCAUUGAAAGAUGGACACCCUGGAAACCUACCUCCAGCAGCCUUUGCCUCGAUUAAGUGAGGUACAGCUUCCUGCACCCACCAGCCCGCCCCACCGUGAGCAAGAAACAACUGUCGCUCCCACAAGUCAUGGAAGGUGCUGCUGUCACUCCCAGCUGCGCAGGAGGGUCACCGGGGAACUCGGAAACAGCCUGGGGAGCCAAACAACUCCUUGGCGUUUUUGAAGCUUCCCCCAGGGUCUGGGGAUGUGGCUCAGUGGUAAAACACUUGCCCUGGGUUCAACCCCUAGAAGGUCUAGGAACCUGUAUCUUAAAAUAAAAGGAAGCGCUUUCCUGCUUCUCUCUGCGGAUCUGAAUUGCCAUCACCACCACCACUUGCCCACGCCUGCCUCCCUCAGUCUCCGCGCCCAGCCCUGCCCCUGGGUCUCCUCAGAGGGCUUCAGGGCAGCCUUUGGGGAGCCCAGCUCUGGGGUCCUUCCUCCACUGCCUGUCCGAACCUGGCAGAAGCAGAGCAGCUGGAAUAAAAGUCCCGUGCUGUAUUCACAGACUCCAGAAGAGUGCGCGUCUGUCACAUGGCUUCGGUCUACUCUUCCUGCUUGGCCUGGGCUCUGCGCACAUGUGACCAUCCCAGAGGAAAUUCCCUAGGAUAAAGGGUUUUCUGGUGCCUGCCAUUGGCUCCAGGGUGGCUGAGAGCAACUAUAAAGAGCCUCUUGGACAAAACAGUUGUGAUCUCUCCCCAGAGUGCCUCCCAAUGGGACUGAGUCUAAGGCCUGCUUCAACUCCCCUCCUUCCUUUCUGCUUGCUGGGUGCUAUGGCUAUUGGCCGCUGCCUCAGUUUCCCCUUCUGCAAAAUGGGCCGUGAUCCAUUCCACAGUGUAGGUUGUGCCAGAGGGCAUACCGUUUCAUUACAUAAUGACUCCGGAGCAGAGCCUGUUUGCUUGGCAUCUCUCCACCUGUUGGUGCCAGGGGCAACACUGGGACUCAGCUUCGUAACCUUGCAUUUCUGCAGCAGGGUGAAAGGAAGGUGCUGGAAUGUCUCCUUUCUCUUAGGUCUGGAAAGGGGGCCUCUUGGGGCUGGGGCCUCAGGAGGGAGACAGAACAGGGCACUUGUCCUCCUGGUAAAAUGCAUGAUGGCUUUAGGUGGCUCACAGGCAAGCCAGGGUAUUGUUUUGUUUUGUUUCCUUGUGCUAUGUUUUUUGAUUUUGUUUGGAAGUGUUG